rnacentral:rRNA from 1 species
AAACUGAAGAGUUUGAUCAUGGCUCAGAUUGAACGCUGGCGGUAUGCUUAACACAUGCAAGUCGAACGGUAACAGGCCUUCGGGCGCUGACGAGUGGCGGACGGGUGAGUAACGCGUAGGAAUCUGCCUCAUAGUGGGGGACAACGUGGGGAAACUCACGCUAAUACCGCAUACGCCCUACGGGGGAAAGCGGGGGAUCUUCGGACCUCGCGCUAUGAGAUGAGCCUGCGUUAGAUUAGCUAGUUGGUAGGGUAAAGGCCUACCAAGGCGACGAUCUAUAGCUGGUCUGAGAGGACGAUCAGCCACACUGGGACUGAGACACGGCCCAGACUCCUACGGGAGGCAGCAGCCGAGAAUAUUUGUCAAUGGGCGAAAGCCUGAACGAGCGACGCCGCGUGUGGGAUGAAGGUUUUCGGAUUGUAAACCACUUUUUAUGGGGAGAAAUCGCAAGAUGAUAGUACCCGUAGAAUAAGGGGUUCCCAACUCUGUGCCAGCAGGAGCGGUAAUACAGAGGCCCCAAGCAUUACCCGGAAUCACUGGGCGUAAAGGGUGUCUAGGCGGCCAUAUUAGUCUCUCGUUAAAUCUGUGGGCUCAACCUGCAGUCUGCGAGGGAAACGGUAUGGCUCGAGGGCGUGAGAGGUGCACGGAACUCAUGGUGGAGGGGUGAAAUCCGUUGAUAUCAAGAGGAACACCAAAGGCGAAGGCAGAUAAUUAGGUAAUUCAUGACGCUGAUAGACGACAGCUAGGGGAGCGAAAGGGAUUAGAGACCCCUGUAGUCCUAGCUGUAAACUAUGCCUGCUAGCUGGUCGGUCCGACGCAAGUCGGACUGGGUGGUGUAAGCUAACGCGUUAAGCAGGCCGCCUGGGGAGUACGAUCGCAAGAUUAAAACUCAAAGGAAUUGACGGGGACCCGCACAACCGGUGGAGCGUGUGGUUCAAUUCGAGACAAAGCGAAAGACCUCACCAGGUCUUGACAUGCUACCGUUUACUCGUUUGGAAACAGAUGGGGAUCCGCAAGGAUGGUAGCACAGCUGCUGCAUGGCAGCCGUCAGCUCGUGCCGUGGGGUGUUCCCUUAAGUGGGAGAACGAGCGCAACCCGCAUCCGAUGUUACAAGUGUCAUCGGAGACCGCCCACUCUCAAAGUCGAGGACUUUGAGAGAAUACUACCAAUAGACAAAUACUACCAAUUAUCCAAUAUCAAUUAAAAAAGGAUUCACUUUGAUUAUUGGUAGUAUUGGAUAAUUUGAUUAUUGGAUUAUUCUCUCAAAAGCGUCGUCGCUUUUGAGAGUGGGAGGAAGGAGCGGACGACGACAUGUCAGCACGGCGCUUAUGACCUGGGCCACACACACCCUACAAUGGCGAAUAACAAUGGGACGCGAGGUAGUAAUGCCAAGCAAAUCUCCAGUAAAUUUCGCCUCAGUUCAGAUUGAGGGCUGCAACCCGCCCUCAUGAAGUCGGAAUCGGUAGUAAUCGCAGAUCAGCAGACUGCGGUGAAUACGUUCUCGCUCCUUGUACAACUUAAAUAUGCGCCUUCCGCGCACAUUAUCUAAUUG